CAUUGAAAUUUUAAUUAUUGAAAUAUGUCCCAGCCAACAUUGAGUAAAUGUUUGCAUGAUGUUACAAAUACAACUUAACACAUUAACACCCAAGUAAUACUUUAUAAGUAUAUCAAAUUCCAUAUGACCCAAAGAGAAAUCGUAAUACCAGACUUUAGUGUAAAAUUUGGUUUUUCUUGAGUCCUUGGCUGCAUUGAUGGAACUCUACUAGAAAUAUUGCAAUAAUCAAACCCACUAACCAUGAAGAAACAAUUCUUAAUAGGAAAUAUUUUCAUUCAUUGAAUGUAUUAAUAUUAUGUGAUUCCAAAUUAAACAUAAUGUAUGUGGAUGCAGCAUGCGCAACGGCCCUGGAUGAUGACACCAAUAUUAGGAGCAGGGCCUGGGACACCUGAAGAAUACUAUUGCAACCUUCAUUGCUGUGUCAGGAAUACUGUUGAACAGUGUAUGGGGGUAUUAAAAGCAUGUUGGUAUUGUUUGUUGGCCCAUAGAGUUUUUCAUUAUGAUCCAGUUACUAAUGGCAAAUUAGUGAAUGCAUGUGUUGUCCUGCACAAUAUUGCAAAUAUGCAGAAUGCCAAAAUACCCGAAAUAUAGGCUUCUGAUGCUGGAAGUGAAAAUAUGUCUCAGGAUUUAGGAGAGGAUGCCAUAGUUGAGGUUAUAUAAGAUCUUACCAGAGAACAAUUGGUGCAGACUGGAAUUCGAGAUGAUAUGUUAAAUAUUUAUUGAGUUAAAAAUGUAUUGAGUGUAUGUUUUAAGUGAAAAUUAUUUAUACUUGUAUUUGUGAUUAAACAUAUUGUCUUACUAAGAUAUUGUAAGUUUUAUUCGAAUAUGACAAUAUUUCUUGUAUAAGUUUUAAAUUAUAUUAUAUAAUAUUAUACAUUGUUCAUGCUUUGAUUCAAAUGUGAUGUAGUUGUGUACGUAAUUAAAGAAAACAUUUUUAUAUC